rnacentral:rRNA from 1 species
CUUGGUCAUUUAGAGGAAGUAAAAGUCGUAACAAGGCCUCCGUAGGUGAACCUGCGGAGGGAUCAUUACAAGUGACCCCGGUCUUACCACCGGGAUGUUCAUAACCCUUUGUUGUCCGACUCUGUUGCCUCCGGGGCGACCCUGCCUUCGGGCGGGGGCUCCGGGUGGACACUUCAAACUCUUGCGUAACUUUGCAGUCUGAGUAAACUUAAUUAAUAAAUUAAAACUUUUAACAACGGAUCUCUUGGUUCUGGCAUCGAUGAAGAACGCAGCGAAAUGCGAUAAGUAAUGUGAAUUGCAGAAUUCAGUGAAUCAUCGAAUCUUUGAACGCACAUUGCGCCCCCUGGUAUUCCGGGGGGCAUGCCUGUUCGAGCGUCAUUUCACCACUCAAGCCUCGCUUGGUAUUGGGCAACGCGGUCCGCCGCGUGCCUCAAAUCGACCGGCUGGGUCUUCUGUCCCCUAAGCGUUGUGGAAACUAUUCGCUAAAGGGUGUUCGGGAGGCUACGCCGUAAAACAACCCCAUUUCUAAGGUUGACCUCGGAUCAGGUAGGGAUACCCGCUGAACUUAAGCAUAUCAAUAAGCGGAGGA